rnacentral:rRNA from 1 species
AGAGUUUGAUCAUGGCUCAGGAUGAACGCUAGCUACAGGCUUAACACAUGCAACUCGUGGGGCAGCAUGGUGUGUAGCAAUACACACUGAUGGCGACCGGCGGAUGGGUGAGUAACGCGUAUCCCACCUGGCCCUAUCUCGGGUACAGCCCCUCGAAAGAGGGAUUAAUGCCCGAUGUUCCCUUGUGAUCGCAUGUUCCCAAGGGCAAAGGUUUUUUUUCUGGAUAGGGAUGGGGAUGCGUUCCAUUAGGCAGUCGGCGGGGUAACGGCCCACCGAGCCUACGAUGGAUAGGGGUUCUGAGAGGAAGGCCCCCCACACUGGGACUGAGACACGGCCCAGACUCCUACGGGAGGCAGCAGUGAGGAAUAUUGGUCAAUGGCGGCAACGCUGAACCAGCCAAGUAGCGUGAGGGAUUACGGCCCUAUGGGUUUUAAACCUCUUUUGUUAGGGAGCAACCUAUGGCACUAGCGCCAUACUGCGAGUACCUUUCGAAUAAGCAUCGGCUAACUCCGUGCCAGCAGCCGCGGUAAUACGGAGGAUGCGAGCGUUAUCCGGAUUUAUUGGGUUUAAAGGGAGCGCGGACGGGAGAUUAAGUCAGCUGUUAAAUGGCGGCGCCCAACGUCGUCCUGCGGUUGAUACUGGUUUUCUUGAGUGCGGCAUGGGCAGGCGGAAUUCACGGUGUAGCGGUGAAAUGCUUAGAUAUCGUGAAGAACUCCGAUCGCGAAGGCAGCCUGCCGGACCGUUACUGACGUUUAGGCUCGAAAGUGCGGGUAUCAAACAGGAUUAGAUACCCUGGUAGUCCGCACAGUAAACGAUGGACACUCGCUGUCGGCGACAGACAGUCGGCGGCCUAGCGAAAGCGUUAAGUGUCCCACCUGGGGAGUACGCCGGCAACGGUGAAACUCAAAGGAAUUGACGGGGGCCCGCACAAGCGGAGGAACAUGUGGUUUAAUUCGAUGAUACGCGAGGAACCUUACCCGGGCUUGAACUGCAGUGGUAUGGGUCAGAGAUGGUCCAGUCAGCAAUGACCGCUGUGGAGGUGCUGCAUGGUUGUCGUCAGCUCGUGCCGUGAGGUGUCGGCUUAAGUGCCAUAACGAGCGCAACCCCUUCCUUCAGUUGCCAUCGGGUUAUGCCGGGCACUCUGUAGGGACUGCCGCCGUAAGGUGUGAGGAAGGCGGGGAUGACGUCAAAUCAGCACGGCCCUUACGUCCGGGGCUACACACGUGUUACAAUGGGGGGUACAGCGGGAUGCUACCGAGCAAUCGGGCGCCGAUCCUGAAAUCCCUCCGUAGUUCGGAUUGGGGUCUGCAACCCGACCCCAUGAAGCUGGAUUCGCUAGUAAUCGCGCAUCAGCCAUGGCGCGGUGAAUACGUUCCCGGGCCUUGUACACACCGCCCGUCAAGCCAUGAAAGCCGGGAGUACCUGAAGUGCGUAACCGUAAGGAGCGCCCUAGGGCAAGACCGGUGAUUGGGGCUAAGUCGUAACAAGGUAGC